AAUCCGUGUUGUGAGCACCUCCUCAAAAGAUCAAUGAAGCGCUCCCAUGUCUCAAAGAAUCACUCCAAAUCCAUCUGUACAAACGACGAAAUCUCAUUGCAAAGCUU